ACUUAUAGAUGGACCUGCGCCGUAUUAGCUAGUUGGUAAGGUAACGGCUUACCAAGGCAACGAUACGUAGCCGACCUGAGAGGGUGAUCGGCCACACCUGGAACUGAGACACGGUCCAGACUCCUACGGGAGGCAGCAGUAGGGAAUCUUCCGCAAUGGGCGAAAGCCUGACGGAGCAACGCCGCGUGAGUCGAUGAAGGUCUUCGGAUCGUAAAACUCUGUUAUUAGGGAAGAACAAACGUGUAAGUAACUGUGCACGUCUUGACGGUACCUAAUCAGAAAGCCACGGCUAACUACGUG
rnacentral:rRNA from 1 species